GUGGCAGCGGCCGAGACUCAUCUUGCAGGACAAGUGGAAUCUUAGGGAACGGGGGUCUGAGGGGUGCGGUUCAUAAGUGAGCAGGCGGGAAACUCCCCAGGGAGAUCCCCAAGGAAAGUGAAUGAAGUUGAGAAUAUCUUCGCUUACGCAUCAUUCUGUCCCCCCUGGGAAAGGACUGCCGCUGGAUGUCCUUUACCAGCCCCGGUCCCAGCUGCCAGUGGCCCACCUCCUCCGCCCUGGGCCUGCCUCUUGCGGACUCUGGAAACCGCGCUACCAGGCUUAUCUUGCCUCUUCACUCGCGGAGUUGCUCUCUGCCAGAAAUGUGAGGGUUGCAAAGCUUAGAAUGAAGUACCUUGCUUUUUUGUUUUUAACUGUAGUAUCAUUUUUAGUGGCAUUAAGAGCUUUUACAUUAUUGUGCAGCCAUUGCCACCAUCCACCUCCAGUACUUUUUUCUUCUUGCAAAACUGAAACUCUCCCCAUCAGGAACUCUCCAUUCCCCUAUCCCAUCGGUCCAUGGCAACCACUAUUCUACUUUCUAUUAAUUGGACUACUGUUAAAGUAUUUCAUAUGACUGGAACUAUACAGUAGUUCUCUUUUAUAA